UUGGCCUCCCAAAGUGCUGGGAUUACAGAUGUGAGCACCACACCUAGCCACAUUUUCUUUAUCCAAUCAUUUGUUGAUGGAUACUUAGGUUGAUUCCAUAUCUUUGCAACUGUGAACAGUGCUGUGUUCUGAGAAAUUCAUUGUUAGGCUAUUUUGUUGUAUGAACAUCAGAGUAUACUUAGACAAACCUAGAUAGCAUAGCCAACUACACAUCUAGGUUAUAUGGUAUAGACUAUUGUUCCUAGGCUAUAAAUCUGUGCAGCAUGGUACUGUGCUGAAUACUGUAAGCAGUUGCAACACAGUGGCAUUUGUGUAUCUGAACAUAUUUAGACACAGAAAAGGUACAGUAGAAAUAUGGUAUAAUCUUAUGGGGCUAUCGUCAUAUAAAAGGUCCAUCUUUGCCCAAGACAUCAUUAGGGGUUGCAGGACUAUAUUUACAAAUGUGUGAGAGGGCUGUAGGCAAACCAGAAGGGAGAGUAUAGAAUCUGCAGCUCACAACAUUGAGGCCUGUGACCACUCUGGGGCCCAGAAGGGAGACUCCAGAACCUGUAGCUCACAACAUUGAGGGCUGUGACCACUCUGGGCCUGCAGAAGGGAGAAUAUAGAACCUGUAGCUCACAACAUUGAGGGCUGUGACCACUCUGGGCCUGCAGAAGGGAGAAUAUAGAACCUGUAGCUCACAACAUUGAGGGCUGUGACCACUCUGGGCCUGCAGAAGGGAGAAUAUAGAACCUGUAGCUCACAACAUUGAGGGCUGUGACCACUCUGGGCCUGCAGAAGGGAGAAUAUAGAACCUGUAGCUCACAACAUUGAGGGCUGUGACCACUCUGGGCCCCAGGAGGGAGAGUACAGAACCUGCAGAUCACAACAUUGAGGGCUGUAACAUUCUGGGUCUGCAGAAUGGAGGGUAUAGAACCUGUAGCUCACAACAUUGAGGGCUGUUACCAUUCUGGGCCUGCAGAAGGGAGGGUAUAGAACCUGUAGCUCACAACAUUGAUGGCUGUAAUCACUCUGGGCCGGAGGGGGAAGAGAAGCCAACAUUGCAAUUUGUAAGGAGAAACUCCUGUAUGAGCAGCUAUGACAUGAGACCACUGGACACAGCCAGACCAAGAGGACAGUGCAGGCAGGAAGCUGAGGGAUAAAUAUCACUCACGGUGUCCCUUCCUUCUCUUAUUUGGGGCUCCCCAUCGGCUGAACACAACCAGAAGCCAUAGGGCAAGGGGCCUGGAGUUGUAUCCUUACCAGACAGGGUCCUGGGCCAACUAAACAGUGGGGAGAGGGGAGGGUGGGUCUGAAGAAGCAGACAGAAGAGACCUGGCAAUGAAACUAUGCAUCUGUAAUUUGGAUAGAAACUGUCACACUGACCACCCGCGGGGCUAUACCAAUUUACAUAACCACCUGCAAUGUGUGAGAAUUUUCGUUUCCCUACCGUUGCUUCUUAGAGGUAUAUCAUCAAGUUCUUGGAUUUUUCUCAAAUUCAUAAAUGAAAAGUUGUCUUUCACAUUAAUAUUAAUUUGUAUUUCUCUUACUCUUUGUGAUGGAACACCUUCAUCUUUUCAUAGGUUUAAGAGCGAUUUGCAUCUCCUUCUCAUUAACUGUUCGUGCCUUUGGCAAUUUUUCUGUUGAGCUGUUGCUAUUUUCUUACUGGUUUGCAGUUUUUUUUUUUUUUAAGUAGAAGGGAAACUGUGAUAUGAGUCACAUCUUUUUCUUCUCUCCCCAGUUUGUCACUUGCCCUUUGAGUUGCUUGUGCUGUUUAAAAAAAACAACCCCCCCAAAAAAACACCCAGAAGUUUUUGAGUUUUAUGUUUUCAGAUUUAAAGGUAUUUUCUUUCUUAGCUUCUAAAUUUUGAGUCAUAAUCAGAAAGUCUUCCCUACUCCAAGGUGAGAAAGGAGUUCUUCAAGAAGAAUUUUAAGGAGCCCCAGUAGAUCUUGUUCCUUCUCUCUCUCUCAGAUAUUCUGUCCCCAUCCAUGUGACUAAGACCUAUAGAUUGUGGGCAUUCUUCUGUCCCCCAAACACUGGGGAAAUAUCAUCAAAAUAAAAAAAGACCAUGAAAUCGCAGACUUGUCAUGGCUUGUGGCGACUGUCUGUGGCUGGUGACAUAGGAGUAAGAAGAAUUUACCAUGACAGUUUAGGUCAAGAAAGGCAGAUUUAUUAGAGAAAGUAGGAAAAUACAUUGCAAGGGAGCAAUGGGCAGGUCAGUAAGAGACGAGUUGACUGCCAGGAGACAAAGGCUUGCUGGGGAUUUUAUAAAAUGCAAUUUAAGCUGAAGAGUGCUAUGUGGAGGACUGACAACGCCAAGGUAGCAGGGAGCUAACUUGCAUUUUUCGGUCAGCCGAGAUGUUUGAUGAUAAGUUGAAGCAUUUGAUGAUACGCAGGAAGAUUGUGAGUUAUGUGUGCAGGAGGGUCGUAUGUCCUGGGCCAUAAAGAAAGGCAGACCUAUAGCUU
rnacentral:lncRNA from 1 species